ensembl:lncRNA
UUAAUGUAUGUAUUGUGAAUAUCUUUAUUAAAAUAUGACAAUAAACCCGUCUGUGCCCUGUUAAUUUAAUAACUAAUUGUGAAAUCCCAGGAAAAUUCAGUUGCUUUCAGAAUAAAUUGGUCAGUUUGCUAAUUCACAGAAUGGUGAAUUAAUACAGUAUCCCCUAGUCUGUUUACCAGUAAGUCCUCAGUAGUUACUGAAUAACUGUCCCUUAGGGCAGUUAUUCAGUAACUAAUAUGUGGAGAGACAAAGCCAAACAGAGACACAGGAAUGAACAUCCGACUCCAUGUGUUAGGUAAAGGUUUUAUAUAAUAGGAUACAUGAGGAACUAGGCUAUGUUAACGUAUUCAAUCAGAAUACUAUCAUCUUACAGAAGGAUCAUUUAUACACUGGGAGUCCUCAGUCCACAUAACCAGGAACCAUGAAAAGAGAAACGCAUUUCCAAAGUCCUUUUUAAAACUUAAUCCCAAAAAACGGACUUCUAAAGCGAGAUGCAACAGUCCACUGGAGAGUUUAGUGCAGUCUGUGUUUGUCGAUUUUCUUGACAUCAUUUAAAACCGAUGAGUAACCUCGUUGCCCAAGACCAACAUGCUAUGAAGGCGUUCCUCCUCUGCCUGGUAGAAUCAUCUCAUUCAGGUCUGUAGUCUGUGGUGGACUCUGGUUCCUCAGGGCUGUAGUCUGGUCGAGCUCUGGUUCCUCAGGGCUGUAGUCUGUGGUGGACUCUGGUUCCUCAGGGCUGUAGUCUGGUCGAGCUCUGGUUCCUCUGGUCUGUAGUCUGGUUGAGCUCUGGUUCCUCAGGUCUGUGGUCUGUGGUGGACUCUGGUUCCUCAGGUCUGUAGUCUGUGGUGGACUCUGGUUCCUCAGGUCUGUAGUCUGUGGUGGACUCUGGUUCCUCAGGUCUGUGGUGGACUCUGGUUCCUCAGGUCUGUAGUCUGUGGUGGACUCUGGUUCCUCAGGUCUGUAGUCUGGUCGAGCUCUGGUUCUCAGGUCUGUAGUCUGUGGUUGAGCUCUGGUUCCUCAGGUGGCUGACCUCAGGUCAUUGUCAGAGUCUCAAGCUGCUCCUGUUAUCCAGUCGGGGAUCCUGCUUAUAAAAAAUAACCGUCCAACACAAGAUUUGCAUAAUAGGAGAUCUUAGCAAGUUAAAGUUGUUUGUUGAGUUUAUUCACUUUUCAAAACGUCUGACUCUUUUUAAAAGAAUGGUCCCUUCGCUGACUUAAAACGGACCUGGGAACCGAUCAACCCUGUUUAAUACAUUUUUAAGACUUUCAACAAAACAUUCGGCAAUAAUCUCUUCAUGAAAAAAACAAACCAACAGUCGACCGCAUUAGUGUGCAAGAAGAACUCUCUAGAAGCAGGACAUCAAAACAAGCUGUUGGAUCGAGUGAAUGGACCGUUCUGACAUCAGGGAGGUUUUCCUCCGGAUCUGUUCGACAUGGCUUCUGAAGUCCACUCAGACGAAGAGCAGGCCCUCUUCAGUCGGGGGGCAUGGUGGGUGGAGGUCGCCUGGAGGGGGCUUCUUUCGGUGAGCCGUGGUGGAGCGGGGAGCUGUCCUGGGGUGUAUGGCUUGAUUCCAAAGAACGAGUUAUUGGUUCCGUUUGAAAGAAAGACGUUACAGCGAGGUGGAGCAGACAUGAGGCACUGAGCAUUGUUCGAGGGUCGUGGGGCUAUGUUUGGACUUCCUGCUUUUCCUCUUCCUCCUGAAGUCCUAAUCUGAUGAGGAUGAGGAGGGUGUGCAGGAACACACGUCAGUCUGGGGCUGAGAACCAACGGCAUGAGCAAACAAUAGUUAGGGGUUAACGGUCAGACAGCUCUGAGGACAGGGUCCCUGGGGGCUGCUGGGGCUUAGUGUCUUUGAGGGGGGGAGACAUCGUCAUCCAGAGAGCGUAAAAAGCCAGCCAUGUCUCAAAAACACUUGUGGUGUUCAUCCUUCACGGACGUCGACAACGUGGAAAUGAUUUGUCUCCUCUUGGUAAAAAGUGCACUCUGCAGCAAUCAGAUCACCGGCGAGCGCCCAGACGGUCUGGGAGCGUGGGGGGGGGGGUCCUCCAUUGGAUCUGCCUCCUGGAGUGGUUCAACGGCGUGUCUCAUGGCUUGCAUUACGUCUGAAUUGCUUUCCGCCUCCCCCUUCAGACAGGAGUGUUGGAGGAGUCUCGCCUCCGAGGCCCGAGAACCAGAUCCCACCGGCUCAUCGAGUUAAACCUCGGCCUUAUCAGAUCUUCAGACAGACGUGGGGCGGAGGUGUAGGGUGGGGCUCCGCCUCCCCUCCUCCGGGACUGACGGACAGACGUACCGACGGACCGACGGACAGACGGACCGACGGACCGACGGACCGACGGACAGACGGACAGACGGACCGACGGACCGACGACCGACGGACCGAC